rnacentral:rRNA from 1 species
GGCGGCGUGCUUAACACAUGCAAGUCGAACGGGCUUAGAUCGGAAGCUUGCUUUUGAUUUAAGUUAGUGGCGGACGGGUGAGUAACGCGUGGGUAACCUACCCUGUGGCAGGGGGAUAGCAGCUGGAAACGGCUGAUAAAACCGCAUAACACGGCGAUGCCGCAUGGCAAUGCCGUCAAAUAUUUAUAGGCACAGGGAUGGGCCCGCGUCUGAUUAGCUAGUUGGCGGGGCAACGGCCCACCAAGGCGACGAUCAGUAGCCGGCCUGAGAGGGUGAACGGCCACAUUGGGACUGAGACACGGCCCAAACUCCUACGGGAGGCAGCAGUGGGGAAUAUUGGACAAUGGGGGGAAACCCUGAUCCAGCGGAACCGCCGCGUGAGUGAAGAAGUAUUUCGGUAUGUAAAGCUCUAUCAGCAGGGAAGAUGAUGACGGUACCUGACUAAGAAGCACCGGCUAAAUACGUGCCAGCCGCCGC